rnacentral:rRNA from 1 species
AUGUGUAUUCCCAAGAAAAAAGGGGGUAUGGGCUUCAGAGAUAUUCAGUGCUUUAAUCUUGCACUUUUGGCAAAACAGGCAUGGCGCCUUAUUGACAACCCAGACUCUUUGCGUGCGUUGAUCCUUAAGGCGAAAUAUUUUCCUGAUGGAGAUCUCAUGAAUGCAACUUUAAAAAAGAAAGCUUCAUAUACAUGGCGGAGUAUUAUGGCCGGAGUUGAUACGCUCGGAUGUGGGUAUAUUUGGAGAGUUGGUGAUGGUGAGAAAAUUAGGAUAUGGGAUGAUCCCUGGAUAUCGCAGAUCCUGACAAGGAAGGUGAUUUCACCAAGGGGCAACAAUCUUCUUUCUAGAGUUUCCGACCUCAUUGAUUCGGUGACAGGGAGUUGGGAUGAGCAGCUGGUUAACCAAAAUUUCCGGUAAGUGGAUGCUCGAAGGAUUUGGGACAUUCCACAACCAUUACAUGAGAUGACAGAUUUCCUAGCAUGGUACAUGACAAAGUCAGUGACUUUCACUGUGCGAUCUGCAUACCAUACAGAAUGGGAAUUUCAAUUUGGGCACAAGUUAGAAUCAACGACUGGAGCUUCAAACCCAUCUUAUACAUGGGACUCGGUAUGGAACUUAGUCUGCCCAACAAAAAUAAAAAUAUUUAUGUGGUGCGCGCUCUAGAGUGCUAUUCCCUGUCGAUCAAUCGUGGCUAAUAAGCACUUGAAUAUCAAUCCAAGUUGCCCAGCCUAUAACCAGGGACCUAAUGACAUAAAACAUAUGUUGUUUGAAUGCAAAUUGGCAAUGGACGUGUGUAAGAUCCUCGGUCUUGAGCUUGUUAUCAGACAGGCACAGAAAGUUGACAAAGCAGGUGAGCUUGUGUUGGCACAUCUUCUGUGCCUUCCAGAACAACAGAUCCAAGUGUUGGGCUUGCCGAAGUUCACAGAAACGAUGGCAACGACGUCUUGGUAUUUGUGGUAUGAAAGGCAAAAAUUGACACAUGACAAAGAAACUCAAAGCGCAUGUCAAUUGUCAAAUCAAUAUGUCAGUGAGAGGCUUAGUAGCAAAUUACACCAUCUUUUAUAG